UUAUAGUGAUGCUGAUUUUACUGUUGAUUCAAAUAAUGAAAAUAUCACUUGUCCUUGUUUCUUAAUGUCUUUAAAUUCUCCAAAAACUAGCAUGGAAAGCAUUUGCAAUGGGUUGGGUGGAGGGAUUUUGAUAUGAAAGAGGCAGUUAAUAGAGAGUGGCAGCAGGAACAGUGGUGAAGUUAACUAGCUGAGGCUAUGAGAGAAGGAAGCUACAAAAAGCAAAUUCAAUUCAUUGAUGUUUGUA
rnacentral:sRNA from 1 species